AUACUAAACCUGGCAGGGGAGAUACCAUGAUACCAGGUGGUUUUCCCAGCUCGUCCAUUGCACUCCAGAUGUGCUGACCCCUGCGAUUUCCCCAAAUGUGGCAAACUCAACUGCGUAAUUUGUGGUAGUGGGGGACUGCGUUCGUGCUCUCCCCUA